rnacentral:lncRNA from 1 species
CCGCCCUCAUCUCCGCAUCCGCCAUCCACGCCGGCUCCGACUGCACGCCGAGGUACUCCUCCCCGGCCGAGUGCGACGACAGGAGGUUGAGCACGGGCAGGGCCAGCGUGGUCUGGUACUGCGACGGGUACGUGUCCAGGAGCACCUUGACCGGGUCCUCCAAGAACGCCCGCAUGUCCUCGCCGCCGGCCUCCGUCGGCACGUUCCGGCGGGCGGUGGUCGGGCGGUUGGGGAAGUAGCCGGCGUAGGGGUACUGGGGGAAGUUGACGG